CCCUCGUCAUCGGGGAAGGAUGAACACCUCAGAGUGACUGAGUCCGUCGACGACGCGUUCGCACGAGCGUCGGGACUGAGAAAACGUCACUGCGAACUGCGCCCGGAGAAGCCCUCGCUCCGCACUACCGGACGCGGGUUCGAUUCCCGCCGGCUCCACCC
rnacentral:tmRNA from 1 species